GAUGAACGCUAGCUACAGGCUUAACACAUGCAAGUCGAGGGGCAUCACAGAGAUAGCUUGCUAUCUUGGGUGGCGACCGGCGCACGGGUGAGUAACGCGUAUCCAACCUGCCCAUUACUCAGGGAUAGCCUUGCGAAAGUAAGAUUAAUACCUGAUGUUGUUUGAUUGCCGCAUGACGAUCAAACCAAAGAUUUAUUGGUAAUGGAUGGGGAUGCGUGACAUUAGGUAGUUGGUGAGGUAACGGCUCACCAAGCCCACGAUGUCUAGGGGUUCUGAGAGGAAGGUCCCCCANACUGGAACUGAGACACGGUCCAGACUCCUACGGGAGGCAGGCAGUGAGGAAUAUUGGUCAAUGGUCGAGAGACUGAACCAGCCAAGUAGCGUGCAGGAUGACGGCCCUCUGGGUUGUAAACUUCUUUUAUACGGGAAUAAAACCUCCACGUGUGGGAGCUUGUAUGUACCGUAUGAAUAAGCAUCGGCUAACUCCG
rnacentral:rRNA from 1 species